UUUUUUUUUUUUUUUGGCGGCCUAAAUAGUUGUUAGAAUAGCAAGGGUAAAUUAAUGUAAUAUUAACAUAUGAGAAUUAAAAGUGGAAAGCAGAGAUGCUUAAAUGCAAAACUCAUUGCUAAAAUAACCUUUUUUUCUCUUCCACCAUUUUUUUUCCUUGAUAAAUGUUAGAAUAAUGAGGCUGAUUUAGUCUAAAGUCGGCAUAAAAGGACUAAGAAAUUUGAAUGGGGGAGUGGGUUGGAUUUAAGAGCAAAAAUAAUUGUUCCAACAGCCAUUGUUCUUACUAUUUUGAUUUUUUUUCCCUAACAGUUGCUACAAAAUUGUAAAAAUAGCUGUUUUAUUUCAGGGAUUAGGGGUUUUGUCUUCCAUAUUUUUUGCCUAAAGAAUUGGUGAUAUCAUGAAGGUAAUUUUGUCAAUUCGUAUACUAUAAUAGUCAAUCUCUAACUCAAGGGGUAAGUAAUAUUUUUAAAAUUUCCCACACGCCUCGUGAUAUUAUCUUCAGAGAGAUUUUUUAAAUAAUCCAAUGUAUAUACCCCCCCCCCCCCCCCCAAAACCCAACACACGUACACACACAAAUGUAGACUGAAAUAGAGCCACUUUUUAACUUUAAAGAUUAGAAUUCUACCUUUGGUAAGAAAGCGCGUUUAAUAGAGCAACCAAACGUAGAUUGAGGAGGAGCAAAACUCUCAGAUAUAUAUAUGUGUAUAUAAAUAUAGAAAAUCCACUGUCCAAUAUUUACAUGAUACGCAAGGGGAACGUAUAACUUCAAUCAUUCCACAGCCUUCCCUUCCAAGAGACUCGAAAAGUCAGGAAAUAGCAACAAAAGAAGGGAUGCUACAAGAUUACAGCAGUCAAAUAACAGAGGCUUUUUGGCACAAUUUUAGCCGCUGAGUCUGAACCUUGUCUUC
rnacentral:lncRNA from 1 species